AACUAGAUUGUAAGAGCCUGGCAGGGUUCCACUUAUUUGGUAAGAGGAAAGGAAUAAGCUACAUGGAAUCUCCAGAAAGUUGCAAACUUAGUGUGUAUCUGGACUUUCUUUACCACAACAGGGACCCGUGCAUGGUUGGCUUUCAAUUAUCUGGGGAAAAAGGAACCAGUGACCCUGAGACUCCAAGGUCAAGGUGCUCCUCUAGGUGUGGGGCCAAAUACAGUGAGAAGACAUGGUCACAGGCAACAAGGAAGACAACCGGGGUAAGGCAGGACUGUACAUGAAACCACUGGAGGAGAAGAAA
rnacentral:lncRNA from 1 species